rnacentral:lncRNA from 1 species
UGCUAAUGACUUUCUAGAGUAUCUAAUUGAGGUGCUUAUCAUAUUUAUUAUGUGGCUAACUUAUGCUGAUCAGAUUAUUUAUCUUUGUCACUAUUCAUUAAUUCAUAAUCAAUAUUGAUGAUUACUAAUCCCUUCCCAGUGGUAAAAAUAUAAAUAACGAUACCUGGAAUACUUCCCGGUUAAAAUGCUACAUCGGUAUUAAUCUGUGCGC